ACGUAGGGGGCUAGCGUUAUCCGGAUUUACUGGGCGUAAAGGGUGCGUAGGCGGUCUUUUAAGUCAGGAGUGAAAGGCUACGGCUCAACCGUAGUAAGCUCUUGAAACUGGAGGACUUGAGUGCAGGAGAGGAGAGUGGAAUUCCUAGUGUAGCGGUGAAAUGCGUAGAUAUUAGGAGGAACACCAGUAGCGAAGGCGGCUCUCUGGACUGUAACUGACGCUGAGGCACGAAAGCGUGGGGAGCAAACAG
rnacentral:rRNA from 2 species